AUAAAAUGUCACCUUAAUUGCCUUCUGGAUAUACCCUGUAAAUCCUGACAAAUGCUUUUAAAAGAGAAAACCAAGGCAUAUUUUUCUUCUAUCAGAGCUUGCUCAAUAAACUGCCUGUACCUUUUCCAUGGAGCCUUGCAAAAUGGUGUUAUGUCAAGAAGAAUAAUGCUAUUUAAUUUAUGAACCAUUAAUAUUUAUUGCACAUACGAUCAGUGGCAUUUUGUGCGUGGGAGCUGGGCAGCAGCUAAUAAAAUUGGAAAGAGGUUAUAUAUUUACCAGAGCUGCCCAGAUAAUUCAUAUGGGAUAAUUAUUUGAUGAAUUUAUUUUCUCCGGUUGAUGUAUUUCCUGGUAGUGGCCAAUGAGAUUUCUUAAAAUUUAUUUAAUUCGUAGUGAGUUGCUCAAUAAUUACUACGAAUAAUUAAACUCCUUUAUUAUGAGGGAUUUAUAAGUGUGUUGAGGAAGACUAGUUUAUCCCACUUUAUAAUUAAGCCAUCAGAUUUCAGUCUUUUUUUUCUGAAUUCAGAUCUGCACAUGUCUCACAAAGAUCAGAUUAGGGAGGGGUUACACUGGAUAUUUUAUAAGCAUACCCAGAGACCCAAAUGUAUAAUGCUGCUGCCCCAAACCACGUGUCUGAUGUCCCAGUCUGAGGAAUUGGUGUUGCAAAACACUUGUACAAGCAGUUAAGGUUACAAGGAGUCCCUCUGUAAACUGUGGGUGGAAACAGACCUGAGAGAGGGCUCUGGUGCCACAGUAUUAUCUUUUGAAAACGAAAGGAUUAAUUUCAGGGCGUAAGUUAGGUCUAUCUACGUGUCUUUGUAGAAUAGGUUGUCUGAAAGUAACCUGUAGCAAAUUAAAAAAAAAAAAAAAAAAAAAAAUCAAGCUGUGCUGGUUUCUACUGAUGUGUCUCUGUUCUUCUCAGUACCUGAAGGGGAAGAAUAUUAUUUUCUUCAGUCAGGUUCUGGUUGGAACAUAGGUUUUAUUUAUGUAAGUAUUAUGUGUGGUUUACUUAGAAUUAGCUGCUUCAGCAUAAUAAGAAAGCUCCAGCCAAUAGAUUAAUCUGGGGGGAUGUUCAUGGAAAUACAUGAAUGUGGGCGAUAGUUGUGAACACAGAAGGGGUGGGAACUCUCGCCAGUUUUUCACGAAUGCAUUUUUUAAUAUUGUGAUACUAACCUCUGUAACAGAGCGGAGUCUUUGACUACAUUGCUAAGUCACUUGCCAGAGGAAUAUUAUGCCUAACAUAUCCAUUCACAUCGGAAACCUGGAAAGCAGCAGUGAGCUAGUAGCAACUGCAGUGCUGUGGCGGUGCCAUUCUGGCCUAUAUUGCUGUAAGAACACAGAGGAUUUUGCAGCAGCAGAGAAGAGAAGAUUUUGCUGUAGCGAUUGUGAGGAGUCUUUUCUAUACAGGUCAUUUGGGACCCUGCAGCAGUGAGCCAGUGGAAAUGGAUGGUAAGGAAAAUUCAGCAGAGGAGGAAACUUUUGGGGUAAGAUGCUGCGGCUCGCUGUGCCCUGGGAAGACAAGUCGUUCCCAGCUAAGGUGAGGUAGGUGGUGGCAUAAACAUAGGUACCGGUGGCAUCCCAGGAGAGCCUGCCGCCUAGCCCUGCUGCUCCCUGCCUCUUCCUACCAAAUCCAGGUCUUGCAUUUCCCCGCGCCAGGGAGCAGAAAAGAGUUGCCACUGCUGAGCAUGGAAGUAGGAGUGUGAGUGGGCAUAUGGAAAAGCAUCUGGGUUUUGGUCCCAUCUGCUGUCUUGUUUCUCUCAGGGUGCAUGGCGGAGGGUAGGUCCCAGCCCAUGGCACCUGGGCGUGUGCAUGCGCAGAGGGAUGGAGGGCACGGGAUGCUUGUUCUUCCUCUUGGGGGAAAAAGGCACUAAAUAAAAAAAGUGCAAAGGAUUAUUAUUUAUUAUUUCUAUAUCAUAGGCACGUGUGCCCACACAAGCUUGCAAAGUCAAGCACUCAGAAUACUUGUGCAACCUUAGUACAGCCCUCUGUGUACACCCAUUUAUGAAACAGCUUUUAAUUACAUGACUGCGUCCUGGAGGGAAGCAUAAGAGUGGGAGGAAUGGAGAAUGGAAGAGAGUUGCAAACUACUACUUAGGGAAAACAAUGGGAAAAAAAAGUGAGGAAUGAGGGUGCAGUCAAAAGAACCAAGCAAGGGGCUGUGGCCUGGGCCUCUGGGCUGUGUAUAGCUGGAGAUGGGCAGAGAUUGAAUGAAAGAUGCUUUCAUGAUGAAGGCUUAUCCAACUGGUGCACUGGAGACUUUGCUUUGCUCAGUGCCUUUGUCAGUGUGUUGUCAUGGAGCAGGUCAUGGGAACGAAGCACAUUUCUCAUGAUUGCUUUUGUGAUUUGCUUUUCCCUGGUGCAUCAUUAAAGCCUCUGGGGACUGAUUUGCUGAAGUGCUGACUUGCAGCUGCAGAUCUGGUCAGUGGUAGAUGUGCUUUGAGUGCACAACCAUGAUGUUGCAUUAAGUGUUUUAGAAAGUCAGAUUUGAGGUGUCUCAUUUGGGCACACAAUAUUCAAGUGCAAUAUAUUGGCAUUAUUUUCUGUUUGUCUCAGGUCUCAGCCCAAAAGUGUGUGUAGGGGAGCAAGUAACAGCCCCUGCCCCCCAAAAAAGGCAUUUAUUUCACAACACCUCUAAUGUUUAUGAAGUGCCAAUAUCAUCAUGCUAGGUGCCAUUAAAAAAAACAACUAAAGAAACUAAUAAUUCUGUCUUCAGAGCAAGCUUCCAACAGUGUGCAGUAAAUAUGUCUUGGUGGGCAAAGAGGUAUGAGGCUAAAGUGAGAAUACAAAUAAAAGCUGUGCUGAGCUGGACUUUGCAAAGAUAUUUAGAUAUUUUUUAAAAAGUGUAAAGUUAUUCGGGUUUAAUCAUGCAAAAAGAAAAAAAAGGGGGGGGGGACCUGCUCUGGAGAAAGAGGGCUGAACAGAAUCAAUACGUAGUCCUGGACUCAAUGUGUCUUUCACCUCAAUUUUUCAAUUAAGAGGAUUAUUUUCAAGGUGGGGAAAAAGGCCAGGUGAGUUGUGGAAACGAACGGAUAGAAAUGGGAGCACCAGACCUGAUGCAGAAGUGGUGCUUGGGAAAGAAGAUUUGGCAACUCUUAACCACUGAGCUCUGUGGGUCAGUUGUGUAAUUAACUUGCUGGUCUUGGAGCAAGUGCUUGUUGCAAAGUGUUUGAGGCUGAUCAGGUGCCAUAUGGCUGCAAAAUUGGUGGUUUUUGGAAAGGGUGGACGGGAGAGAAGCAUGUGGCCAACCAGUGGGAGAAGCCCAUGCGUAGGGGCACUCUGGGAGAAACGGCAAAUUGUCCAGUCAGCACUUGGUGUGCUGGGAGCUGUGCUGAGACCUCAGCGCUGCUUGCAGUAGCCAGCCCCUGUCGCUGUGCUCUCAGCAUAGAUUCAAGAAGGCAAAGUGGGUUCCCGAGGGAGGGCUGGGUUUGCUCCUGGCUGUUGUCUACACCAGUGUCUGAUCCUUGCUGCAUCCUGCUAGGCAUGUGCCCUCAGUAUUGACUGUUGGCAGCACUUUCUGAGGGUCCAUACCUUGUACUUUUAAAAUGAGGAGAAUGCCCUUUUAUCAUUAAAAAGUGGGUCAGUCAGUUUUGUUGCAUACGUGCUUGUUUUGUAUCGCAGGAGGAUUAACCGGAGCAUCUUUCUAACUUCUUCAUGCUGUGCACUCAUUCGCGUCCUUCCAGCACAUCCCUUCUGAUUCACGUUCUCGCUAGAAUAAACAGUCUCAGUUGUUCCUGUUUUCUGGCAAUUUCACUGGGUGAACCAUGGUCCUUUGUGAAACUCCUGGGAUUGUUCAUAUAAAUAGUGUUGUGGGUUUUUUUUAAUUCAGAUCGCUUUCUGGCACAUUAGUCACAUUUAUCCUUCUGUAGAAUAGACUUUAUUAACAGGUCAGGCUUCACAAACUUUUCACUUUAAAUCUUUAAGUGGAAAAAAGGAGGAGAAAAGGGCUGGUCUUGAGACACUCUAGAGCAGUUAGACUAACUUCAGCCCCUGGAAAGUUUCUAGGACAAAUUAUUAAGCAGUCAGUAUAUCAGCUGCUGAAGAUGAUGGAGUGAUUUAAAAAAAACCCACUAUUUUUCAGGAACAAAUGUCAGAGUAAUCUGAUUUCUUUCUUGGGCAGGAUAACAGGCUGAGUACACGAGAGAGGGGAUAUGUAAUCUGACUCUGUUAAGCUUUUGACUUUAUUCUCACAAUAUCUUUAUAUACAAUACAGAAAUAUUUCCAUCACAAAAACACUGCAUACAGUGGAUUGAAAACCCCUGAAAAGGAGUGGCAGUUCACUGCCAGACUGAGAGGGCAUUUGAAGUGGGGCCAAACCAGGCUGCUUCUCUAUUCAGUUUCUUCAUUAAAGACUUGGAUAACAAAAUAGAUGUUACAUGGGUCAAAUGCACGAGGACAGCAAGCUGAUAUGCUGUAAGCACAAUGGAAGACAAAAUUGGCAUUCAAAAGAGCCUUGUUGAUUUAGGAGGGGGGAAAAAAGUCCUAAAUCUGCACGACCAGGUUCAGCUUUGCAAAGUCCUAUACCUAGGGGAGGAUAAGGGACAGGCUGAAACAAAAACUGGAGAAAAACUGCCCAGGCAGCCUGAGUGGCAGAAGACGACCUUGAAUUGGACAAGGUCAGCAUUACGGUGUUCUUGCAAAAACACAGAUUUCAUUUAAUAAGUUUAGUAAGGGUGUAGACAAAUUGGAGAGAACUUGAGAGCAACAAGGAAAGAAGAAUUUAGAAGGCAUACAAUGGUAUACAAUACAAGGAAAGUUGGCAGUAGUGGUUACGUUUCAUAUAAAGAAAAGGAAAUGCAAGGACCUGAUAACAGUAUCCCAGUUAUAAGAGGUUUUGUGCAGAAGGUGGCUACUAAUUGUUCUCCUUUUCUCAUUGAGGCAGGCCAGCAAAUCAUCAGUUUAAUUUACAAGAACAAAAUUUAGGUUGGAAGUUAGGAAAAGCUUUCUAACACGUAGUGCAAGAUGGGAACAGAUCUCUCAGAAGGGUUUGGGACUCUCUGGAGGUUUUAAGAGCCACGAGCUGAGAUGUACCCAAUCCCUGCACUAGUACAAAAGAGUGAAGUGUAGGGUGUCUUCAGUACCUCUUCGACCCUCCUUUCCUAUGAUUCUGUUAUCCCCCACUCCCGUUGGUAUAAUGGUCUUUUGUUUGUUUAUUUUAACCUUUAGAAUACAAUCUCUUAAUGAACUGAGCUUCCUAUUUGGAUUUGUUAAAUCUGCGUUAGUCUUUCUUGAAGUGUUGUUCUUGUGGUGACCUGAUAGCUUUUUUUAUAUUCUGUCUGAAAUCCUGCUCACAUGAAGUCUUUACCUAUGGGAAAGCUGUUUCAGCUAGCACUUUGGAAAGUAUGGUCAGGCAGAGGACUUUGAACUGUUUGAUCCCAUCUAAUACUCAUCACAAUUUUUAACUUAUGAGCUAGGCCAAACCUCAUUAAAGCUUGAGUGAGCAAGAGAUGUAAAAUGUAAACGCAUGAGUCACUUCAGAGAGCAAACGGCAGAAAACUCCAGCAGCCUUUACUUAAAACAAAAGGAAGCGCAAGGCUGUUUGUAAUAGGCUUUAGCUGUGCAGUCCAAUGAGGCUUGUGUUCUGCUAGUAGCGAGUUUAAGAGGAAGGGAGUGAUUGUAUUGAAGUAAUGUGUGAGAAAAGCAGUCAGAUGCAUUGCAGAACCAGAGUGGGGCACGGAGCAAAAGAUUAGAGGGACAAGUCACUGGGUUUGUGCUGCUGAAGUAAAAGCCUGCUCUGCCUGAUUGCGAGCUGGAUGUGGCUUCAAGCUGGAGGUAAUGAUAGGCACUGCUGUUUGAUCCUGUGUUCGUGGAAACAAAACUUCAUGCACCCUCUGUAAGUAAAUAUGAUUUCAUGAGAAAGUUACCUGGCUCCAUCAUGAUCUCCUCUUCCUAAUCAAAACAACUGUCAGGAUGCUGAAUUUUGAUAAAGUGCUUGAGUCAAAAAUGAAUGAGUGUUACAAAAUCUCUGUUUAAAAGAAGUACAGCUUACAAGAAUAGAAAAUUAGCUCAUAUCAUUAUUCCUCCUCAAGCAGAUGACAGAUAUUGCUACUUUCUUAACCAGCACGCUGCAGACAAUUAAGCAACCCACUGCCCUUUUCUCGUUCUAAUUCCGGUGAUCUGGUAUAAGCAAGGCAGAGGAAAGAGGCAGUCUUUUGAUUGAGGAUCUUAAAAGUUUCUUCUAUUUCACUUCUAUUUCCAGUCAACAAAGAACCAGAGAACUGGGAUCCUUUCAGCAUUGUGAAGCACUUUAAUGGAGGAGCACAUUGCUCAGGCAACGCAAACAGCUAUUUAAAUCUUGGAGGUCGACUGGAAGGCUUUUGCUUAGAGGUUCCCCCCUCCCCCCUUUUUUUCUUUCCUUGUUAAUGGCAAGUAUAAUGGAAGAGAGAGACUUCUCAUUGAUCAGGGUCCAAUUUCUUUUACAUCGGCAUUUUCACUGUUUUUGAAAUCACAAUUAAAAACAUUUUUAAUAUUGAGUUGCUUCAGCUCUACCACAUGGUCUUUUAUGAAUGCUUUCUUGCAGGCAAAUCAGUUUUUAAUGUGAACCAACACCCUUCCUUUUACCAUGAACUAUAAUAGAUUUGUUCUUCAGUGUGCGCUCAAAUGUUGUCACUUUUUUUUAACCCUGGACAUGUCCAGUUUUGUAUAUUGCAUGGCAGAAUCAAAGCUGAAAUGGUGUUUUGAAAAGGUGAUUUUAGACCUGCUGUUUUUGAAGGACGACAGAGCCCUCCGAAGAACGUCUGUGAUCUUCUGAGUAUUUCCUAUAAAGCAUCCCCCAAGCACAGUUUUCUGAAAGUAUUUUCCUCUGUAGCAAAGGCUUAAAAAAAAAAAAAAAAUAGUAUGCUUUCUGUGCUGGUAACACCUGGUUGCAGAACGUGUCCUGACAUCAGUAAUGUGGUUGCUCUGCUCUUUCAGAAAUAGUGUGGGGAAUAAAAAGAAGAAAAAGCUGACCUUUUGCCAAUGAUAAUGCAUUCUUGGGUCUGUUUGUACAGCUCAAUAUGCAAUGCUAUAAUGAAAUUCUUUCAUAUGAAUGACACAUGUCAGAUGAGGCUAAGGGAUAUUUGGCAUCGCAUAUACAACAAUUACAUGUUUGAUUGCAUGGAAUAUAGUAUUAAAUGAUGCCAGCAGCUGCUGGUAAUGUCAAAAGAUUUAUUUUAAAAAAAAAACCUCAUACUCCCGUGCAUAUUUGGGGAACUUUCUAGAACUGUCAUUCUAUGGUAUCCUCAGUCUUUCUCUUUGGUUCCAUUUUCCCUCUAACAUAAAUGUUUCUUCUAGCUUCAGUCCUCAGAUGUAUGUGUUUAAGUUGUGUAGUUAAUGUAAUAUUAAGUCAUAUGGCUCAUAUAUGGUCAGUAAAAUCUCAGGCUGCUGUCUUUGACCUACAGCCACAUUCAGAGCUGAGUUUUGGAUUUCUCUAACAGAGCUGCCAAGGACUUGCAGCAGAUACCUGGGAGGACAUGAAGGUGCUAUUGGUGUGGUAGUGUUCACUGUCACAUUUCGUGUGUGCCAAAAGCAGCUAUAAGCACCUGCAUUCAUGUGACCUGUCAGGAACUUCUCUGAGAUGAAAUGUUUUCCUUUUCAGUAAAGAAACUAUAAAACUUCCUUAAAAAUAAUGUGAAAGGGGCCAGACUGAAUUACUGCUAUAUCACGUAAUGACAAUUGGUACAUGAGAAAUGAACGUGGAACUAGAAUAAUAUCAAUAAAUACACAUACUUUGAAAAAUAUGGAAAGGACUUAGAGCUUCUUCAUAUCUGAGGGAAGGAUAUGUGUGUACAUAUACAUACAUAUGUAAGAAGGUAAGCAAAGUAUUUACAUUAGAAACAAUCCUCUCUAGAAAGUUGUUCAUAUUUGUUCAGUUUUGUGCCACUAGCAUUUGCUAAUUACUUGCAUUCUACACAACUGCUGAAGCAUUUGUUCCACUAUGCUGUAAAAUACCACCAAUCUCCGUCAAGCAAAAAGGAAAGUGUGUUGCAGCAAUUUGAAGAGGUGUAUCCAGAAAAGAUUCAGAAAAGGAGGAGUAUCUAGACAGCAGGUAUGAGGAGACAGCUCCAACAAUGUAUCUUUUUUCUUUAUUACUGAUUUUUAACCCUGUGAUUGGUAUCAGGGUCUAACUAGUGCUGGUUUCUUUCUUAUUUUCAAUAUUUGGAGAAUCUGGUAUACCUCAGCCUUGAAUGAAAGCUUUUAAAAUCGCCUCUGUUAUCCCGUAAGGGGUUUUGGGACCUCUGAUUGCUUCUUUUUUCCAACAGUGAAGUUUCUUCCAGUCCUCACACAUGGCAAGCACCCAGAGAACUUAUCGUCUGUCCUUUUUGCUGUGUAGCAAUCUGACAGCAGUAUCAGCUUUCAAGACUUCAGUUAGAUUGACGUUCAUGAGCAGAAGGUAUGCGUUUCACCUUCACCAUGACCUCCCCAAAAUCAGCAUGAUGUUGUGCCAUAUAGAUAAUUUUUCUAUCCCAUGACAGUAAAACUACACAAGGGCGUCUCUAACAUUAUCUGGGGUGACAAGAGAAUGAAGUCCUGUCACCAUUUCCAUCACACUGCUGAUUGCUAUGCAGACACUUUAUCUGUGAAAAUCACCUGACCUGUUUGAUAACCUUCUGCAGAGCAAUGACCAAACAUCAAAUUAAGGGAUACUUCAGGGCUUAGUUUUAUGCCAUCCCUCAUCUCAACUUUCUAAUGACUUCAUUGUACUAAGUGGCAGAUGAUCAUGCGAAGAGGCAGAGAUGGCAUUGCUCACUGGUAGCACAUUGAUUUUUAAAGGCUGAGACAGGGAGCUUAGUCUUUGUGCUCGUUCGUUCAUUCAUUAGCACCUCUGCUGUGAUUGCCAGCAAGGCUAAAUACAUCCAGCUUUUUUAAUGCCCAGAAUGUGAGCAUGAGAAGCAGGAUAAAAUCCUCCUUCCUUUGAGGUCAGAGGGGAAAAUGUUUCAUUGAUGACUUGGGGGCUGCUCUUCUCCUAAAAGCAGAAAUGAGGUGAGCUUGUAUACUUGGAACUGUUUUCUGGACAGAAAUGUCCUGAUUUUGGUAUCUGUGUCUCUGUUCUGCUGUACCAUAGCACCUAUGUAGGGCUUUGCAAUUCAGUUUUUCAGGAAAGGGGAAAUCAGUGAUGCAAGGUACUUGCAUCACACUCGGUAGGCAAGUGUGAUUUGUUUUACUUAAACAUAUAUGCCACCCCUGGAAGAGCUAGGGAUGUGAGCAGUACUGUCUUCCCUACUUUCUUAAUCAGAGCUCACAAACCAAUUACCAUUUCCCAGGAAACUACUGUGUUACAAUAAUUACUUAGUUACUUCUAGGCAGACAUAGUAGAGAGGAGUGUGAAACUCCUGAGCUCUGCCUCAGCUCUUUUCAAAGGACUGUCAUUUAAAAAGCAAAAAAACAAAACAAAAAAGCUUUAUAAAGAUUUUCUUCGAAGAUUAAAAACACAUAUCUUUUAAACACAGCUUGUGAAUAAGUUUUUUUUCUUUUCUUUUCUUUUGCCAGGUAACAAACCCCCUGGAUACAGGUCAUUCUUCUUAAAUAGCUUCUCUUGAUUCGCCACCAAAAUAAAAUUGGACAAAAUAUUUGGAAAAAACGUUUUUAAUAUUGGUUUUGUAAUAUUCAUGAAAAUACAACAAAAGGAAAAGUUUAUUUAAAACAAAAAUGGAAACAUGUUUCU